GUCGGGCUCCGCCACCCUGACGCGGUGGCUGGGCGAGGGGCCCAGCAGGCUGCCCGCCUUCGCCAGCCACCAGCUGGGAGUCGCAGGUGCUGUAUUAGAUGAAAACAAUGGAAAGGUGCUGGUCGUACAAGACAGAAAUAAGUUCCCGAGUGCUGUGAAGAUGCACCAAAUCACUGCCUUUGUCCUCCCUCUGCCACACCACAUGAGUUAGAAGAGCCCAAGAAACCUACUCCCUUUCUUGGCUUCAUCACCCAGUAUCCCUUCUGCAUCAAGUUCUAUGUUUCUCCUGUAACUGACCCAAGAGUACCUGAUCUUGUGUUUGGAUCCAUGCAGUCCUCUAGAAAACCCUCGUGGCUUAAAGCAGAUUUUGGGAGACUGUGAUUUUGCUUGGUUUCUAAAAUUCCAGGCAUAUCUGUGGGAUUAAACAAGCAAUAACAUGGUUGGCCAUGACCUGCAGACCACCUGUGUAAAGCAGGUGUAAAGAUCAUUAAUUUCUCACAAACCAGAGUGCUUGACCUCACUACAACGGGUGCCAAACCAGAGAGCAUUAGUGUGGUGGGGGUGGGUUUUGUGAUGUGGCUUGAGGAAACCGAGCAUCCAUCACUGCAAACGUCUUCUAGCAACUAUCAAGCUAACCUAGGUUUUAACACAGCAAGUGCGUAAAGCUCACUAGCUCAUUUGCAGCUGCUUGUGCUAGUCUGUUUAAAAUCCAUUUAGUUUACACCAUGCUUUGAGCAGAAGGAAUAAAUGAAGUAAGCAUCUCUAGUAGAGUGAGGUUAUUUGCAAUUUUAACAUCGAAAAAAAAGUCUCGACAUGCUAACUGAAGUACACAGGGUUGCAUCAUUUUUAUAGUUCCAUUUAAGCCAGAAUCUUACUAGCUAUAUUGUUCUGCUUUUCCUGAAAUAACUACUAAGGAAUUUUUCUCGGAAACCAAGUUAAUCAUCGCUUCAUGGUAACACAGUUAAUGAAAAGGUGCUUUCAUAAGGAGGUUCAGUCACUGAACUUGUAGUGCAAGAGUUGGGAAGAAGAGAAGCAUCCUUUUCUGAUUCCCUAUAGACUACUGAUUUUAUAUUUUUACAUAAAGUAAAAUUUCAAGGACUUCUCUCUGGCAAGAUCUUCAGGCUUUCAUUCAGUAAUUACCAAUUAAAGCACAAAUGCAGUACACAAGGUAUAGGCUCUGGAAAUGUUUUUUAUUCCAGAAAGCCUCUAAGAAAAAGAAUAGUAUGUAAUACAAAUGCUGCAUUUGUUUUUCCUUAAAAUUUCUGUGCAUGUAACAGGGAAAAAGCGCAUGCCGACCUUUCAGUAAAUACCUUAAUUGAGGAGAUCUCAAAGAGUAAAAAUGGAAGUUGCACAUUCUGUGACUUAGAAGGAAAUAGUUGCUUCCUAAGCCCAUGCGACAACAUAGACUUUAAGGUUUAACUUCUUAACUGAGUUACUGUUAAAGCUCACCCACAGCCAUUUUAAGUGCAAACAACUCUAUCCAGUUUUACAGUGAGACAUCAGAUGUUCUGUUGAGGUCCUAGGUCCAAUUCCAUACUCACCAGAAAUUGCUUCCUUAGCCUCUGGUUCCAGAAUGUAACAGGACCAAGCAUGGCAUCGCUGUUUCCUCUGGUUCUGUCUGAAAUGUGGGAUGGGUACAUUCCAGGUCAGCUAUUUCUGCUUACCCCUGUAGAACAAAGCUGUUACUACAGCGGGUGAGUUGAAAGGAGAAAAGUGAUUGUUUCUGUCUCCUCUCCUUACAGCUCAUUUUUAUUGAGCGGACAGAAUUAAGUAUAAAAAUGGAGGUGUGCAAAUACCCAAUGCAGUUCUUAUGCAGCAAGCAGUUAUCUCAGUGCAAGCAAAUUGGCUCAGACAGUUCUUUCCCAGUGCCAGUCCCACCACCCCUCUUUCUCCUCCUUCCUCCCAAAUGAACUAUUUCCCUGAAAUGGGUAAUUACAAAUUAUGGUCUGAAAGGUUUAGAAAUGUUAAGUUUAUGUGCAGCUUUAUAAUACAAGCUCGUGGAUUUUGAAGGGCUGUUUGGGUUUCAUCACGAAAGGACAAUUCCACUGCACACCCAGCAAGAUUUCCAGGAUCUGAAAGCAAAUCUGAAAGCCAGCAAAUCUAUGUACUUUCCAUCUGCACUAUUUUUAAUCUAUUGGUCUUAAUUGCUAUCCAAGCCCUUUACGAGUGCCCAGAAAAAAACAAACAAAAAAAAAUUUUCCAAUGUAAUCAGUGGGGUUUAAAAUCCCUGGAAAGCUGCUCGUAUGAGAAAAGCCAACUUUUUUUUUUUUUUGCUAUCCUACAUUUUUUCUGCCUUAGUUUCUAGUUGAAGGUUAUACAUAUACCUCUUUAAUAUACAUCUUUAAUUCUUAUACAUCUUCCUAUAUACAUCUAGGAAUAAAAAAAGUGAUAUGUAAGGGUAAAAACCUACAGAUCUUUGUGCAUUUGCCAGAGGUGCAGUAACUAGGAUUUUGUAACCAGUAUGGAUUACAGCAUCACAUCUGCAGUUCAUGUUCUGUUUAAUUACUGAACUUUAUUGCAAUUCAAUAAAUGCUUCUAUACAUAAAUCACA